rnacentral:rRNA from 1 species
CUGCCUGAUGGAGGGGGAUAACUACUGGAAACGGUAGCUAAUACCGCAUAACGUCGCAAGACCAAAGAGGGGGACCUUCGGGCCUCUUGCCAUCGGAUGUGCCCAGAUGGGAUUAGCUAGUAGGUGGGGUAACGGCUCACCUAGGCGACGAUCCCUAGCUGGUCUGAGAGGAUGACCAGCCACACUGGAACUGAGACACGGUCCAGACUCCUACGGGAGGCAGCAGUGGGGAAUAUUGCACAAUGGGCGCAAGCCUGAUGCAGCCAUGCCGCGUGUAUGAAGAAGGCCUUCGGGUUGUAAAGUACUUUCAGCGGGGAGGAAGGGAGUAAAGUUAAUACCUUUGCUCAUUGACGUUACCCGCAGAAGAAGCACCGGCUAACUCCGUGCCAGCA